AUUUAAAGAGUGCGUAACAGCUCACUAGUCGAGCGACAUGGCAUGGAUAAUAAUCGGGCAUAAGCAUACUACCGAAGCUAUGGAUUUAUGGUAGGGGAGCAUUCUAUGGGCGUUGAAUGUGUGGCGUGAGCCAUGCUGGAGCGCAUAGAAAAGCAAAUGUAGGCAUAAGUAACGAUAAGGCAGGUGAGAAACCUGCCCGCCGAAAGACCAAGGUUUCCUCAGCUAUGCUAAUCAGCUGAGGGUUAGUCGGGGCCUAACGCGAACCCGAAAGGGGUAGUGGAUGGAUAACAGGUUAAUAUUCCUGUACCUGCUCAUACUAAAAGUGACGGAGGCGAAAAGUUAGUGCGCACAGACGGAAUUGUGCGUUAAAGAGAGUGGUAACACCUUGAUAGUACACUAAGACUACGGUCGCGGUGAUAAUCUAGCAAAUCGACUUCCAAGAAAAGCGAAUGAAGCAGCCCGUACCCUAAACCGACACAGGUAGUUGGGAUGAG
rnacentral:rRNA from 9 species